UGCAGUCGAGCGAAUGGAUUGAGAGCUUGCUCUUAUGAAGUUAGCGGCGGACGGGUGAGUAACACGUGGGUAACCUGCCCAUAAGACUGGGAUAACUCCGGGAAACCGGGGCUAAUACCGGAUAAUAUUUUGAACUGCAUGGUUCGAAAUUGAAAGGCGGCUUCGGCUGUCACUUAUGGAUGGACCCGCGUCGCAUUAGCUAGUUGGUGAGGUAACGGCUCACCAAGGCAACGAUGCGUAGCCGACCUGAGAGGGUGAUCGGCCACACUGGGACUGAGACACGGCCCAGACUCCUACGGGAGGCAGCAGUAGGGAAUCUUCCGCAAUGGACGAAAGUCUGACGGAGCAACGCCGCGUGAGUGAUGAAGGCUUUCGGGUCGUAAAACUCUGUUGUUAGGGAAGAACAAGUGCUAGUUGAAUAAGCUGGCACCUUGACGGUACCUAACCAGAAAGCCACGGCUAACUACGUGCCAGCAGCCGCGGUAAUACGUAGGUGGCAAGCGUUAUCCGGAAUUAUUGGGCGUAAAGCGCGCGCAGGUGGUUUCUUAAGUCUGAUGUGAAAGCCCACGGCUCAACCGUGGAGGGUCAUUGGAAACUGGGAGACUUGAGUGCAGAAGAGGAAAGUGGAAUUCCAUGUGUAGCGGUGAAAUGCGUAGAGAUAUGGAGGAACACCAGUGGCGAAGGCGACUUUCUGGUCUGUAACUGACACUGAGGCGCGAAAGCGUGGGG
rnacentral:rRNA from 1 species